GCUGGGCGCUGGUGGCUCACGCCUGUAAUCCUAGCUACUCAGGAGGCUGAGAUCUGAGGAUCGCAGUUCAAAGCCAGCCCGGGCAGGCCAGACCGUGAGACUCCUAUCUCUCAAGGCGAGCGCUCUACCACUUGAGCUACAGCGCCACUUCCGGUUUUCUGGUGGUUUAUUGGAGAUAGGAGUCUCACGGUCUGGCCUGCCUGGGCUGGCUUUGAACUGCGAUCCUCAGAUCUCAG
rnacentral:SRP_RNA from 1 species